AUUGAACGCUAGCGGGAUGCCUUACACAUGCAAGUCGAACGGAGUGGCGAACGGGUGAGUAUUGUAUCGGAACGUGCCCAGUCGCGGGGGAUAACUACGCGAAAGCGUAGCUAAUACCGCAUACUAUUGGAGCGGCCGAUGUCGGAUUAGCUUGUUGGUGGGGUAACGGCUCACCAAGGCGACGAUCCGUAGCCGGUAUAAGAGGACGACCAGCCACACUUGAACUGAAAGGCGGCCCAGACUCCUACGGGAGGCAGCCGUGGGGAAUUUUGGACAAUGGGGGAAAGCCUGAUCCAGCCAUCCCGCGUGUGGGAGGAAGGCCUUCGGGUUGUAAAGUACUUUCAGCGAGGAGGCGUUGCUCGCAGAAGAAGCACCGGCUAACUCCGUGCCAGCAGCCGCGGUAAUAC
rnacentral:rRNA from 1 species